rnacentral:rRNA from 1 species
CACNUCUAGCAUUACCAGUAUUAGAGGCACUGCCUGCCCAGUGACAUUAGUUAAACGGCCGCGGUAUCCUGACCGUGCAAAGGUAGCAUAAUCAUUUGUUCCUUAAUUAGGGACUUGUAUGAAUGGCCCCACGAGGGUUUGACUGUCUCUUACUUUUAAUCAGUGAAAUUGACCUUCCCGUGAAGAGGCGGGAAUACAAAAAUAAGACGAGAAGACCCUAUGGAGCUUUAAUUAACGUGUUCAACAGAAUUUAAAUUUCAUCCAACAGGAAUAAAAACUUUUAACUGAACAAUAAAUUUUGGUUGGGGUGACCUCGGAGUAUAACAAAACCUCCAAGCGAUUUAACCAAGACUCACCAGUCAAGGUCAUGUAAUUUAUUGAUCCAAUCUUAUUGAUCAACGAAACAAGUUACCCUAGGGAUAACAGCGCAAUCCUAUUUGAGAGUUCAUAUCGACAAUAGGGUUUACGACCUCGAUGUUGGAUCAGGACACCCAAAUGGUGCAGCAGCUAUUAAAGGUUCGUUUGUUCAACG